GCUUACGGCCACACCGGCCUGGUUCACGCCCGAUCUCGUUUGAUCUCGGAAGCUAAAAUAGGUUGGGCCUGGUUAGUACUUGGAUGGGAGACCGCCUGGGAAUACCAGGUGCUGUAAGCU
rnacentral:rRNA from 1 species